rnacentral:tRNA from 1 species
GGAAUGUCCUUAUUUUAUUGGUCUGGUCCUUUCGGACAUAGCCUCAAAUACGGUCUCGAAAACCGUUGAGCCUUCACGGGUUCCCAGGGUUCGAAUCCCUGUCUCUCCGCCA